rnacentral:lncRNA from 1 species
GUGCUGGGUGAGCACUCUACUGCUGAGCCACAACCCCAGUCCCCCCGCCCCCUAGGGUUUGUUUUUUAAUGACACAAUUUAGUACCCGAUAGCAUUUUAGAAAUCUACUUAAGGUAGUUAUAUAGUGCCAAAAAAAAAAAAAAAAAAAAAAAAAAACAGAGGCUACGGAUAUCCUCCUGAUAAAGUUAGGAGGUUAGCCUAUUUGAGGCCUGGGUUUUAUUCCCAGUGCUGCAAAAAGAAAAGAAAGAUAAAGCAUAAAAUACUUAAUAUUUCCUAUGGUGUCUUCAUUUCCAUGUGGCCUGGCUCCUUAUGUGAGAUGCCAGUGAUUGAAGAUGCACACACGUAGGAACACACCAUGACAACCCCAAGAUCACUGUCAUCUUCUGCAUUUCUCUUAGUCUUGUUUGUAAUGAAAAAUACCAAAAAGAAGAUGAGGAGAACUUUACUACAUUGUGUACUUUAUGUCCUAGGCUGUGAUUCUCAUAAAGACUGCCCUCAAAACCACAGACACUCCAAUCCUCCUUAUGAUGCUUCACCAAGAAAUGAAACAUUUUUCUUCUUUGCUUUCACAAUUUUGCAAAAAAGUUUUCAGUAAUUAGUAAAAAACACAGGGUUAACUAACAACAGAUACUUUUUUUGACAUUAAAGGACCAAAAAAAUCCCAGUAACUAGCCAUACAUAAAAAAUCAUAGAUUGGACCAUGGUAGUGGCUCAGUGGUAGGGUGCUUGCCUAGCAUGCAUGAGAUACUGGGUUGGAUCCCCAGCACCACAUUAAAACAAAACAAAAUAAAAAAAAAUAAACAAAAAACAAAUAAAGUAAAGGUAUUGUGUCCACUUACAACUAAAAAAUAAUUUUAAAAAAGUUAUAGACCAUAUGAAGCAGAUUUAUCCCAGGGAUAAAAGGACAUUUUAACAUAAAAAAUCAGUUAAUAAGCUGGGUAUGGUGGCACAUGCCCAUAAUUCCAGCAACUUGUGAGGCUGUGGCAGGAGGAUUUCAAGUUGGAAGACUGAUUCAGCAAUUUAGUGAGCUCUGUUUCAAAAUGAAAAAUAAAAAGGGCUGGGAUGUGGCUCAGUGAAAAAGCACACCUGCAUUCAAUCCCCAUUAACACACACACACACACACACACAAAUGUUAAUACAUCAUACUAAUAGAAAAAAGUAACACAACCAUUUUAAUAGACACAGAACAAGUAUCAUACAAAACUCCAGGAACAAGCCAAUGAUGGCCAAUUUCACCACUUUCAUAGUCCCAGAAUUGCUAUCCAGGGUAAUUAGAUGGAGGAAAAAAAGGUGUUGGGGUUGGACAGGAAGUACUGUCUUCAUAGGCAGAUAACACAGUCAUCUAUAUCAAAAUCUCAAAGAAGAUGCACUCUCCAACGUACACCCUGCUAGAGCCAAGAAAGGAGUCUUGGAAGCUGCAGGACACAGAGACAGGUAUGGCCCUAUUUCUGUAUGCUAGUGAUGAACAAUUCGAAAUUAGAAUUGAGAAAAUAAUCGGUUACAAUAGCAAAGGAGUAAAGUACUUAGGAAUAAAUUUCACAAAAGAAAUGCAAAGCUCACUAUUUAAAAACUGCAAACCCUCAUUGAAAGAAAUUAAAGACCAAAAUAAAUGGGAAGACAUUCCAGGUUCAGAGACCAUGAGAUGGAACAUUGUUAAGAGGUUAACUCUCCCCAAACUGACCUAUGGAUUCAAAGCCAUCCCUGUCAGAAUCCUAGCUGCUUUCCUUGUAGAAAUUGACAAACUGAUUCUAAAAUUCAAAUGGAAUCCCAAGAGAUCCAGAAUAGAAACAAUGUGAAAAGAGAAUAACAAAUCAGGAGAACUCAUGCUUCUUGAUUUUAUUACCUACUGGAAAGAAAUAGCAAUAGAGACAUGGAUGGAUGUGAGGUUAAUCCUCUCAGCUGCAGUUAACAGACUUUUUAAAAAGAGUGCCAGCAUCACUGAAGGAGUGAAGUAUAGUGCUUUCCUCAAAUGGUCUGGAACAGCUGGAUCUCCAUAUGCAAGAGAAUGUACUUGGACCCUUACCUCAUAACACAUAGAAAAAGGAAUUAUUGUUAAGAGCUAACACUCUAGAUCCUUCAUAGGGGGUUGCCCCGUGACCCAGCACUUAUUAACAUAGAGCCCUAGGUUAACACCCUGUGCCCAAAACAAAACAAAACAAAAACCUUUUUGAGAAAGACACAGGUAAAUCUUCAUGACCUAGGAUUUAGCACAAGAUUUUUUGGUGUCAAAAUUACUAGCAACAAGAGAAAAAAAAUAGACACAUUGAAUUUUACCAAAAGUAAAAACCUUUCCAGGAGUGGUAAGGCACACCUGUAAUCUCAGCUGCUCAGGAAGCUGUGGCAGGAGUAUUGUGAGUUUUAGGUCAACCUGGGCAACUUUGUGAGACUGUGUCUCAAAAUAGAAAACAAAAAGGGCUAGAGAUGUAGCUCAGUGACAGAUCACCUCUGGUUUCAAUCCCUACUACCACAAAACAAGAGGGGGGGAAAAGAAAUUAAAAACCUCUGUGCUUCUAAAGAAACCACAAAGUGAAAACAAUCCAGAGAAUGGGAGAAAAUACUGGGAGAUCACAUAUCUGACAGGAGAUUUGCACCUGAUUAUCCAAAGAAAUCUCAUAAUCCACAACAAAGGAAAAACAUGCAACACAAUGAACAAAAUGGGCCAAAGAUCUAAACAGAUAUUUCUCCAAAAACAGAAAAUAGAAAGGGCCAAUAAACAUAGGAGGUCAUAGCCAUCAGCGACACCUGAGAAACUGUAGUGGCACCCCAUUUCUCACUGGAAAAUCUUAACUGGGCUUCUCCAGAAGUCUUUAUCAUAAUGAAAAUUGAUUUUAAGACUAUAAGUAAAAGAGACUCUGCAAAAGAGUUCAAUGUAGAUAAACUUCCUAUUUUCAUUUUGCCCUAUUUUACUUGACUACUAGCCUGGAAGAAAUCAGCAUUCCAGGUGCUGGACACCCCCUUACUAGUUUUUCAUAAACAUUUAUCCAGGGUAGAAGUUUGUAGAAAUAUGUAAACAAGGCCUCUGGCCUUGAGCUGGAGCUUCAAAGAGAUGUCUACAUUUCUAAGAUAAGAGAAGUUACCAAUUGGGCUCCAUGGUAACAGCUGGCAGGGGGAGGAAAGAAAAGGGAGAAGAAGCUCUCUCCUUCUCAGGUGUUGUCCUUAAAGAGUUAACUUGCCCAGAACAGUGAAAGAAAAAGCUGCUUUUAUGUGAACUUCUGCAGACUGUGAACUUCUGAGCCCUUCCCCUUAUAUGCUGGGUAUAAAAUUCUGAAGCUACCUAAACUCGUGGUUCAGGGGAUUGAUUUAUUACAGCAAAAGCUGUGCCCUCUGAACUUGACUGCAGCCAAAUAAAACUAUUUCCUGCUAACUUUGGUGCCUUGCUUCAUCUGUCCCUACAACAAAACUACUCUGCACCCCCUAGACUGCACAGUCACAGGUCAGAGAGUGGCAAUAAUCACAACGGCCAUUGGAGAUGCAGUACGCCAGAUCAUCUGCACCAAAGCUCAUGAUUGUGGCUAUGGUUUUGCACAGGGUGCAUGGCCACCUCUGUAGCAGGAAACCAAGUUGCAUUUCAAGGAAUGGGUAGAGAGCACUAGAUCACAGCAUGGGACCCAAGCCAGGGAGAGGGUGCCCAGUACCCAAUCCUGGUCAUCACAGGCCUUGUACUGGCAGGCACUUAGGGCCUGAAGCUGGUUACAUCAGCAAGAAGCUGAUAGCCCAAGCAUUUUUCUCAAAAGAGAUUAGUCACCUGGCAGGCAGAGCUCACAGCUUCGAUGACAUACUUCUCAAAGCUCUUGGACACACUGUCCUUGAGGCCAUGGUUACAGAACACAGAAAUCUGGGAGAGAGGCAUCUCCUGCAAACAUGGAAGCAGGUGGGGGUGUGAGUGCCUGAUUGUUGUGACUCCCCUCCUCCCUACCCCACACUAAGCAUGUCCUCCCUGACACUCACCAGAGGAGCAAAGAUGAAACUAAUUUAGUAUCUUCUCACGCUGCAAAAAAACAAAAACAAAACGCAGCCAGAACAGCAGCUUGCAAAAACAUGCAAUUUUCAAAGAUGAGCCAUUUUUCCUUCCUCAAAAGAUCCAUUUAAUGAGGUCUAUGUAAAACACUCAUAUAGAAACCAAUUUUCCUGGGUCACAGGCCUUCAUUCAAAAUGAAUGGCAUUUUUUGUGUUUUCUCCACGUCAUCAUGUUUAAUAAGGCUCCUGUCACCAGCAGCUUCCUUGGAGUACCUGUAGAUGGAGGGCUUGAUGACACAUGUCUAGGGCCCCAGUGACAGCAUAAUCCCAUUUCCUGACUCUUCUUAGGAAUGUCACACUAGAACUCUGAAAUGUUUCUGUGGUCAAAUUACAAAGGCCUGAUCAGAAAUAAAAAUUCAAAGCUGGGGUGGAUCCCAGGGUCUGCACACACUGUGCAUUAGCGGGUGUGAAGGGGGUUAGGUGGUAGGGAGGGG